AUAUGAUCCAACACAGGGCUUUACUUGUGUAAAUCCACCAUGGAUUGGAUUGUGGUGGUGGAAGUGGUGGUGUCAGGACUACAAAGUUCGUUUCACAUGUCCAAGAAGUUUUUGCCAACCAAAGUGUGUAACAAGGUGGUAUGAUUCUGACGACCCUGAUACAAAUCGAGGCAAUUUUGAAUUUUUGUCUACCAUUCUCAAUAAGUACCCUGGAGAAAUAUGUCGAAAUCCAAUCGCAAUAGAGGCUCAGACCGUCUCUGGGGAUCCUGUGUAUCAAACUGGAAAUAACAUUCAACUGUAUAUUUCAGCAUAUGGGUUUUCUUGCACAAAUGUAAAACCAGGAUUUUGUGCUGAUUAUAAGGUGCGCUUCACCUGCCCAGAUGAAUGGUGUUCAACAUGUAGGACACCCUGGUUUGACCAAGAUGAUCCAGAUAAAGAAGGAGACUGGGAGACUCUGUCAUCAAUCCUGUUGAAAUACCCACUACAGGUCUGUGCUCAGCCCAUCGCUAUUGAGGUCGUAACCACCAGUGGGAUCCUUGUACAGCCGAAUGGAAAU